rnacentral:lncRNA from 1 species
GACGCUUGAACUUCCUGGCUUUCACGCCAGGAAGUGCCACCCAACUCCACCUACUUCCUGGCUCAGGGCUGCAGGCAGGGGGCACACAGGCCAGGACCAGGGACUCAACUGGGCCUGCUCAAAGGAAGUCGCUGCCCAGCUCCAUGCCCCUCCCCGCGCCUUAGGGUGUGUGGUGCUGAAACAAUUUAGACGGAGAGAGAAGGAUGAUGGCUGCUGGCUCAGUGCCUCAGAGAUCCGCAGGCUGCUCAGAAUUGUAGGACUUUCUUGGUCUCCUGACGUCCCUGCUCAAGGCUUCUCUUCCCCGAGGCUCAGAGCGGCUCCUGGCUCCCACGCAUGCCCGCUUCAUUCUUCCUAUGAAAUUCAAAGAAAAUCCAAACCUUUUUCUUGGAGUACUGCCGCGCGCAGGGAGCACCCCAGGAGGAGAGACCUGGACUUCCUCAGAUGCCUGGGGGCCAGGUGGAGGCCGCUGCAGCUCCCAGGAGAGAGAGGUGAGGGGGGCAGUGGGACUGGGGGACCCUCUGAGAGACACAGAGAGGGCCCACCGAGUAGAACUCACGUGGUGCUGGAUCCAGCUGCCUGCUCCCCGCACCCCCAGCCCUACUCCUUGGAAGCUCCCACCACAGAGGCUCCCUGCGGCCGAUGGCGCGGAGGGGCACUGCUUCGUGCUAAUAUCGUUCAAAUCAGUCGCACCUUGGUUCUCAUCCAUGGAUCUCCCUGAGGGUCCCUGAAAGCCACUGGACGCUCUCUGAUGGGGACCCAGCUCCGGCUGGAGGGCACUGAGCCAACUGAGGCCUGGACAGAGAGGUUUCUGUCCAUCCCAUUGCUGUGUGCCCUCUGGAGAGCCUCUGCCCCUCUCUGAGGACCCCCGAGCAAGCCCUCCCGGGGUCCCCACUUGGAGCCAGGCCCGUGUUAAGUUUGGAGGAGGAGAGAGAACCAAGCAGCGUGGUCCCUGCCUGUGGGGACUAAAGCAGAGACUUCACAGUACUGGGGGCGGGGCUUAAUUUGACUGGAGACUUGGUGACACCUCAGUGCAAAAGCUUCCCCUCAGCUGCCCCUUGGGCCUGGGCUGUGUUCACACUCAGGGGUAGGGGGUGGUGGUCACCCCGGGGGGUUACUCGGGAGCCCAGACCUGGGCUCUCGGGGCAGACAGCUCAUGGGGACAGGGCCAUUUGGGCAGAGGAUUCCCAGGUCCCAGGGUGAGGUCUAAAGGGGUCCCCUUCCCUGGGCCUGCAGAGUCCUCCCCUGUGGGCUGGGGGCGG